UGGAACAGGGAGUGCCCUUCGGGAGCCAGGAGACAGGUGCUGCAUGGCUGUCGUCAGCUCGUGUCGCGAGAUGUUGGGUUAAGUCCCGCAACGAGCGCAACCCUUGUCUUUAAUUGCCAUCAUUCAGUUGGGCACUUUAAAGAGACUGCCGGUGUUAAACCGGAGGAAGGUGGGAUGACGUCAAGUCCUCAUGGCCUUUAUGCCCAGGGCUACACACGUGCUACAAUGGGUGGUACAAAGAGAUGCAAUCUCGCAAGAGCAAGCAAACCUCAAAAAGCCAUCCUCAGUUCGGAUUGGAGUCUGCAACUCGACUCCAUGAAGUCGGAAUCGCUAGUAAUCGCGGAUCAGCACGCCGCGGUGAAUACGUUCCCGGGCCUU
rnacentral:rRNA from 1 species